UCAGUGUGAGACUUGGCAGACAGGCCUGUGAUAGAAGUAAGUGAAUUUUUUCAGAUGGCCAAUGUAACACAGCAGUGUAAGCUAUAUACUAAUUGAGUUGUUGUUUCACAGGGGUCUCAGACUAGUUAGGGAGUUCUUAAAACUAUAGUAUAGUCAGUCAGUGUUCUCUGCUCACUGAUACAUUUGGACAAUAAAAUCCAAAAUCCCAUUGACUUUAAUCAGAUUGUGGCUUUCAGAAAAUGUCCACAUGGUGGGUCUUUGUGGUGGGGCUGUACUACAUCUGGAGAUUCAGCAGGAAUUCUCACUCAUUUUGGCUCUGGUGGGUAGAUUAGGGAUUAAUCAAAACUCCUCUCUCACUUCAGGCAUUGAUUAACUUUAAUUUUGGCAAUCCUCAACCUUUGAGGUGUCUCACUUUAUUCAUCCUGAAAACGGGGAUAAUGUUACAAUCGGAGUACCAUCAGAAGAGGAUGGAUUACAUCAAAUCAAUGCUGGAUUCUUGGAUGAAGGCUCCAUCGAGGGCCAGACACCAUCUCUGCAGUAAAUUUGCUGCAUCCCUCUGGCCCCUCACUGCCUUCUUUAUGCCCAGUGAAGGCUCCUUAUAUGCCACAAAGGCAUAUCAAGCCUCAUUCAGCAGGUAAUUCUGGG